UGAUAACAAGAGUUUGAUAUAAUGUUGAGCCGUGCCACACGGAGCAUUUAUCUGCUCGGCUCAAACAAAUACCUGAAACUAUAUAGUUACAUUUUUACCAUGGUAUUGAUGUGCAGUUUAACUGUGGUUAACAUGAUCUAAACGUAUGCUACUAUGGAAGACCAAUGGUUAAUUUAAAUAAAACUCAAUCAGUCAGAAUAAUUAUAUUCAGCCAUAUAAAAAUAAGGUUGUUUUAAUUUUUACAGAUGUUUUGCAUCUGCAUCCGAACUCAAGCUACUGUCAAAUGUGCAUUUCUAAUGUAAUAUUAAUAAUAUUGGAGCCCGCACUGCAAACUGUUUUGGAAACAAUAUCUCUCAUUAGAACAUGCAGAAACUAAGAAAUUAUUUUUUCUAUUAAGAUAUUUAUUUUGUUAAGGAAAAAUGACUGGAAAAGUGUAAAGAAUUCAAAAACGUGAAGUGUUUGUCAUGUUCUGAUCAUAAAGAGUCGUUUAAAACCACAAAAUACAACUGAAAUCUGCCUUUAAACUUGAAAGAAAUAAAGAUUUGAAUUAUAUCAUGAUAAUUAGCAAUAUCAACUGAUAUGAAAAUAUGUGUAUAUAUUUAUAUAAAAUGCUAUAAAUGUUAUAGUUCCCCCAGUAAUAUGGAAUCAUUGAAGCAGCUGUUUUUGGUCAGUGUCGCUGUUGAUUUGUCUGCAUGUGUUGAUGUUUCAGGUGGCCAGAUGGGAGCACAGGACCAGAGGCCUGACCCGUCUGUUUGGAGGUCCAUAUGUGGCCUGUUAUUCCCUCGCUGUGCUCAUCUUGCUCUUCAAUGUUUACCAAAGCCACAGACAUUUGUCUCUGUUAUAUCUUGUUUUUUAAAGAGAUCUGAAGCAACGUGUGUGAUUUCAUGUCCACACUGUCCUCGUCAGUCGCACUGUUACCUAACCUCAGUCUGAAGAAACCAGGAGUUGGAUCUCUAUAGAGCACAGGGCCUAAAAGAGAGAUGCAGAAGAAAGGUGCAGGAAAUAAUCACUCUUCUCUGAAAGGACGGGAGUGUGAGGGAAGAACUUCCCUGCUGAUGGGGAAAAUAAGCCCACACUAAUAGAGAGUCAGCUGAACCUGUGGAUGUGUUCGGAUGCUCCUGCUGCAAAAAGGUACAAAAGCUCUUACUGGGGUGGGACACUUUCAACAGCUACACCUUUGUACCUUAUUUACCCCUAAAGGUGCAUGUUAAUGCCUACAGUAAAUGGUGCAAUUUAGUAUCUUUUGAAUGGGUACCGCUCCAGUGACAGCUUUUGUACCUUUUAAAAAAAUGACUUUUUAAAAAGUAUUUUUGUCUUGCUCUCAAAAUACAUUUACUUGAGAAGCAAAAUGACUUGAGAUAUUAAAU
ensembl:lncRNA